AGUGAACGCUGGCGGUAGGCCUAACACAUGCAAGUCGAACGGCAGCACAGUAAGAGCUUGCUCUUACGGGUGGCGAGUGGCGGACGGGUGAGGAAUACAUCGGAAUCUACUUUUUCGUGGGGGAUAACGUAGGGAAACUUACGCUAAUACCUCAUACGACCUACGGGUGAAAGCAGGGGAUCUUCGGACCUUGCGCGAUUGAAUGAGCCGAUGUCGGAUUAGCUAGUUGGCGGGGUAAAGGCCCACCAAGGCGACGCACCGUAGCUGGUCUGAGAGGAUGAUCAGCCACACUGGAACUGAGACACGGUCCAGACUCCUACGGGAGGCAGCAGUGGGGAAUAUUGGACAAUGGGCGCAAGCCUGAUCCAGCCAUGCCGCGUGGGUGAAGAAGGCCUUCGGGUUGUAAAGCCCUUUUGUUGGGAAAGAAAAGCAGCAGGUUAAUACCCCGCUGUUCUGACGGUACCCAAAGAAUAAGCACCGGCUAACUUCGUG
rnacentral:rRNA from 1 species